rnacentral:misc_RNA from 1 species
UCUAACUUGUUUAGUGGAUGGGUGCAGCGUCAGCUGCAUCCAUUCAGUAAACACACGUGCUUCUGCGUACGGUGGAAUCUGUCCAUACGUACGCAGGGUGCAUACACGCUUUAAUGUAGUAAUGUUGUAUAACUAUAAACAAACAG